rnacentral:rRNA from 1 species
AAAAAGCGGAGGAAAAGAAACCAACAGGGAUUGCCUCAGUAACGGCGAGUGAAGCGGCAACAGCUCAAAUUUGAAAUCUGGCUCUUUCAGGGUCCGAGUUGUAAUUUGUAGAAGAUGCUUCGGGUGUGGCUCCGGUCUAAGUUCCUUGGAACAGGACGUCAUAGAGGGUGAGAAUCCCGUAUGUGACUGGUUGCCUUCGCCCAUGUGAAGCUCUUUCGACGAGUCGAGUUGUUUGGGAAUGCAGCUCAAAAUGGGUGGUAAAUUUCAUCUAAAGCUAAAUAUUGGCCAGAGACCGAUAGCGCACAAGUAGAGUGAUCGAAAGAUGAAAAGCACUUUGGAAAGAGAGUUAAACAGUACGUGAAAUUGUUGAAAGGGAAGCGCUUGCAACCAGACUUGCACGCUGCCGAUCAUCCGGGGUUCUCUCCGGUGCACUCGGUUGCGUUCAGGCCAGCAUCGGUUUGGGUGGUUGGAUAAAGGCUGUGGGAAUGUAGCUUCUCUCGGGGAGUGUUAUAGCCCACGGUGCAAUGCAGCCUACCCGGACCGAGGACCGCGCUCGGCUAGGAUGCUGGCGAAAAAGGC